UGUAGUCUGCGGCGCCAUUCGCCAUGUUAAAGGUCAAGUGCAACACUCCACCCACUGGGCACAGGGCAGUGGGCAGGCAGACAGAAGGCUGCUCUUGUGUCUGCAGGUGUCACAAGGGGGCAGCCACAGACCAUUAUCGAUGACGUUGUUGCAUUGGCAUUGGCAUCGGCAUCGGCAUUGGUCCGGUAAUUCCCUCAUUAGGUGGCCAAAGAGUCUGGAAGCUGGACGUCUGGGCAGCCUGGGCAGUGCCCGGCAUGUGGCAUGGGGCUUGUGGCAUGUGGCAUGCAACCUGCUCUCGCUCGAAGAGCCUGUUUUGUGGCACUCGUCAGCCCACUUAACGAUGUGCUCCGGAAUUUAUGCCGAUAUGGUAAUGCAUCUGUACGCUGGGACUUGCCUCGGAGUCGUCUCCGGCCCACUGCCUGCUGCCUGCCUGCCUCAUUAUGCCAUUGAUGGACUGCAGUUGAGCAUUUGUUGGAUUGCGUAAUUUAUUGUUUUGGGUCUUUUGGCUUGAUAAACUGGUGUUUGCCGAUCGGCUGCCCCCAUGGCACUGCAACGUUUCGGAUUCCCGAUGCCACUCUGACCAAAAACGGUCAACGAGGUCUUGUUUGCCUGUCUGCCAGUCAUUUGUGUGUUGCAUUUUUUGCCAACGCCUCCCGACAAAUCUCACUUUCCGCCAAUGUCCGCGUACAAAUCCGCCGGGGGAUUGUGUCCAUCGGUGUGGCAUCUACUCGUAUCUGUGGCACUCCAACGUUUAUGGCUCUAAUUAGCUACGCAGGCAGCAUGCAAAGCAAAGCCAAAGCAAAAGCAAAUCGAAGCCAAAAGAAAAGCUGAUUCAAUCUCUGACUCUGCUGGAAGCUUUUGGCCUAAUGAUUUCCACUGAAUUGUGUGUGUGCUGGGCCAGCCCAUGGAACGCAUCGAAUCCCUCCCAGCAGCUGGAAGUUGCCUGCGUGAAGUUCAAGAGGUUAAGCAGCAGAAGAGUGAGAGCGCGUUCUGCGUAUGCAACUGCAACGGCGACUGUGAUUGCAACAAAAGUGCAACAAAUCAUCUCCCGUAGCUCCCCACACCCAGCCACAGCUACAGCUACAGCUCCAGAGAGAGGAAGGGGGAGAGGAAGAGCGCUGCCUCGUCUCGAGGCCAACCAAUUUGUGUUCCGUUGCUUUGCCGUUUGUAUAAAUCAAUUGGCAAUGAGACGAUGCGAUGCCGAUGCCGAUGCCUUCUACUUAUUCUUGGAGACGCGACAACCCGCUGUGCGGUGUCUAUUGGCAUGGCCAUCCUAUAAAUCGCUGCGCCCUCUGCACCAUCUCCCGGUCUCUAAUGCGUUAUUGGUGUGUGUGUUUUGGAAUAUGAUUUUUCCACUUGUUUCGAGUGUAGCUCGAGUGCGAGGUGUGCCUGUGCCUAUGUGCCGGAGUGUACGUGAUUGGUCUAUAAAUUAUUUGGUUUAUUGCAGCCCAAAGGGUACUGCAACGCCACCUCCGCCCCCGUUUUGCUGCGACACUGAUGGAUUACUCACGCUGCCCAGCUCCUUAUCAGCCACUCCCUCGCCCGUCCUCUAAAUAUUUGCUUCCUUUUCGAUAUAUUACGUACUUGAGCGUGUUUCUGAUGUAUUUGCCUCGCGACUUUACUUUCAAUUUCGUUUUCAAUUUUCAGAUCAACAGCAACAGCAAGCAACGCCUCGGAAUUUGAGUUCGAUUUUUGUUAAAAUAUUUGCACAACUUAAGGGUCAGUGGAAUGACAACACAACGAGCGGAAGGGAGGGAAUGAUGACAGGCAGGGGCACCACCGAUAAAGGCCUUGACCUGUGGAUCACCCACCAGACAGAAGUACGAGCGAGCCAUGAAUGAAUGAAAACCCAAAAUCCUUCUAUCUAUGACACAAAUGCCAGCCAAAUACCAAGUGGCUGCAACAUUAAAGUGCAACAAGCAUUGAACAACAGUAAUAAUAUCAGCGGCAUUAAUAUUAAUUAAAUAAACGUUAAUUCAGCGCAUUAAUGCGUAAUAAAUAAUGCUCUUUUGAGGCAGGAAAAAUUAAUGCAUAAAACGCUACUUAUCGCUGCCCGAUUGGCACGAUGCAUCGAUGGAGCGAUGCCGCCGCCAUGCCAUGCCUUGCCAUGCCACGCCACGACACGACACGACACGCCACGCACUUAUCUGUGUCAACACAGAGAGCUGCAGCACAUGGACGGGGCCCAAGCCUGACAAACGCAUUGUCAAUAGCCUAUAGAUCCGCCUCUGGUCUGCAUUGAAGUUGGAGCUGAGUCGGAGUCAGAGUUUGGAAUCGUUUGUCGUUGGUUGGUUGGUUGGUUGGUUGCUUGGUUGGUUGGCGCGUUGCAAUUACAUGUCUGUGACAAGAAUUUUAAAUGAAAAUCGCUGCGUAGUGCACUGGACAAAUGAUUCAAACUUUCGCAUUACGUGUGGAAAAUGUUUAAAACUCUGCAGAGAGCCGCACAGAGCCACAGACUAGUCGGAUUCAAUCUCAAUGGAGGCAGGCGCCAUGCUCCAUGCAGCGGCCAAGCUGUGUGUCCGAGUACGAGUACGAGUCGGAGUCGGAGUCGUAGUCGUAGUCCGUGCUUUUUGUGCGCUUUGCAUGCCCAAGGAGCGGAGGAGCCGUGCCUCUGGCGACGCGACGCAUGAAAUUAGAAAGGCAUUAUUGCAAAUCUCUCGCUUUAUUUAUCAGCAAUUUGUCAGCAAGUGUGCUGUGUGCGGCACGGAUUAAAGUGGCAGGCCGCCCCAUGCCCCAUGCCCCAUGCCCCAUGCCCGAUGCUUGCCUCUCGUCUGUUUGCCUUUCUAAUGCAAUGCAAUCGACACGGGCUGCAUCUACGCACAAAUUACUCGAGAAAUCAAGCACUCCAGCAGCUGUACAACAGGGAGCGUACUGUACCUCUCCUCUCUCUGUCUCUGUCUCUGUGUCUGUCUCUGUGGGUCAAGUGCAUUCGUUAAUGAACUCUGAGGGUAACCAACGACCCACGCCACUGGAGCCGCCAGCUGAUUUAUGGCCCAUGCUGAGCUGCCGCAGCAUUAGAACUAUUCAGAGGAUAGUAGACUAAAGCGCACGGACAGACUGCUGCGGAGGAACACAGCUACCGUGCUGGGACGAGGACUGCGAAUUGCGAACUGCAAGAGGGGGCACCAGAGAGCGAGGACGGGACAGUUGGAGGCUGCAGGCGCAGCCACAAUAAAUCAUCACAUCGAAGGAAGUCCAAUGGUAGUGGCGGUGGUGGUGGCGGAGAGCCGUGUGCCAGUGUGGCAGUGUGGCAGGGGCAGACGUGUACGAGUAACUGCGGCCAAGUUAUGUGGCUUCAUUGUGGACAGAAUGAACGCUUUUAAGCAGACAAUUGCAGCCUGGGGCGCAGCCACAACAGAGCAACGCACCCUCCCACUACCCCUGGCUAUUGUUUGCUGCCGUUCCUCCAACUCGACUGGAGCUUGCCACAGAUUUUCGUAGGCCGCACUGCGGACAUAAAUCAUUUGGGCCUGCUGCUGCUGCUGCUGCCCCUGCUGGCUCCUGCUGCCGUUGCUGCUGUUGCUCCCCAGCGCCUCCUGCAACUUGCAACUUGCUGCAAUAUGAGUUAAUUUCUAGAGCCCGGAUCUGCAAUGGACACCACUCCGCUCCCCUCGAUUGGACACUGGACACUGGACACCGGACUGUGUACGUAUCGCUUGUGGGGCGACACAAUAUGUGGGUGGAUGUGGCAUA